UGACGUAAACAUUCCUUGAGGUUUUUUAAUAUAUAAAGUGUUCAAACCAUUUUCAAUUUGUUAUAUGAAAAGGUGAAAAAAUGGAUAAAAUUCUCAAGUUUGUUCAUAUCGUGAUUCUAUUUGUCUUCUUAUUGCUUGUUUUGGUUGCUGCUGAACAACAUUUUGUUACAUUGUAUAAAAAAAAGGAAAAGUGUGCUCUUGAUGUCGAUUGCCUUGAACUAUUUCCUAAUUCUUAUAAAUAUCUUAUGAAGUGUGUUGGUGGUGAUUGUAUAAGCUUAUCUAAAGGAUUCUCUCAUGACGAGAUAAAGGAGUAAUAUCAAGGUGUUUGAUCAAGAUAGCGAAGUGGAGAAUUAUUGUAAUCUAUGUUAUUUUGUUCUCAAAAGUUGUUUAGACUAUUGUUUAUGUUUAGAUUGGGUUAUAUGCUUUGGUGUUGGGACAUGAAGGUCGAGUCUAAUAAUAUGUUCUUGAACCAAUUUAUUGGAUAUUGAUAAAAAAAAAUAUAUAUUUCAUUUUAUUAUUAUGAUAUUUGUAGGUCUAAAAGAAGCCAACAUAUAUUACUUUGAGUUGUGAAAUUAAUUUGAUUUAUAUUGUGAUGA